rnacentral:rRNA from 1 species
CCUACGGGAGGCUGCAGUGGGGAAUAUUGGGCAAUGGGCGCAAGCCUGACCCAGCAACGCCGCGUGAAGGAAGAAGGCUUUCGGGUUGUAAACUUCUUUUCUGAGGGACGAAGAAAGUGACGGUACCUCAGGAAUAAGCCACGGCUAACUACGUGCCAGCAGCCGCGGUAAUACGUAGGUGGCAAGCGUUAUCCGGAUUUAUUGGGUGUAAAGGGCGUGUAGGCGGGAAAGCAAGUCAGAUGUGAAAACUCAGGGCUCAACCCUGAGCCUGCAUUUGAAACUGUUUUUCUUGAGUGCUGGAGGGGCAAUCGGAAGUGCGUGUGUAGCGGGGAAAGGCGUAGGGAUACGGAGGAACACCAGUGGCGAAGGCGGAUUGCUGGACAGUAACUGACGCUGAGGCGCGAAAGCGUGGGGAGCAAACAGGAUUAGAUACCCUUGUAGUG